GGUGCCUCACUUAUAGAAUGUGAAUCAACUUCCUCUGUGCUGCUAGAACAACUAUGUUGUUGAGAUUGUUGUGGUUGUGAUUGUGGUUGAGGAAUUCUUUCAACUAAAGAGUGUGAAACAAUGUCCUGUAGAAUUUUCAAAGGAAAAACUGUUGCAUUCUCUUGUGCUACAAUAAUUGGAUAUUCAACUACUGUCUGAUUACAUUUUUCAUUAUACUCUUCUUGACAUUGUUGUCCUGAUUGUUCUGUACUAUCUAACUUGUAGAUUGCAUUUUCAUUACUCAUCUCCAUGUUUUUAUCAUGGUGUUGAUGUUGGUUCUCCACAUUCUGCUUUGAGAAGUUUUGACAAUGUCAUUCGCUUGUACUAUCUGCUGCUCGGUACUUGCUUGACCCUUGCUAAAAUUAUUUAUUGUUUCCACUGGUUUGCUACUAUCAGUUGGAAUUGCACCAGACACCUCUGUCUUAGAAUCUUUGCUAUUAGGACCUUCUCCUAUUUCUGAAGUUGUAUGAUUUUCCAACGCCAUGUAUUUGUUGAAAGUUACUGUUUGCUGUUGUUGUUCUAAUUUCUGCUUACCAGUUCUUCCAUCUCUAA